GAUGAAAACGUAGUGAAAUGCGAUAAGUAAUGUGAAUUGCAGAAUUCAGUGAAUCAUCGAAUCUUUGAACGCACAUUGCGCCCAUUAGUAUUCUAGUGGGCAUGCCUGUUCGAGCGUCAUUUCAACCCUCAAGCCUUAGUUGCUUGGUGUUGGGAGCUUAUCUUGCCGAAAGGCGGGACAACUCCUUAAAUUUAUCGGCGGAGUCGCGGUGACCCCAAGCGUAGUAAAUUAUUUUUUCCUCGCUUUAGGUGUUAACGCUGGCUUUUCUAGCCGUUAAACCCCCCCUAAUAUUUUAAUGGUUGACCUCGGAUCAGGUAGGACUACCCGCUGAACUUAAGCAUAUCAAUAAGCGGAGGA
rnacentral:misc_RNA from 1 species